rnacentral:rRNA from 1 species
AGAAUCAACGCUGGCGGCGUGCCUAACACAUGCAAGUCGAACGCGAAAGUCCCGCAAGGGAUAAGUAGAGUGGCAAACGGGUGAGUAACACGUGGGUGAUCUGCCUCAGAGUGGGGGAUAACGACCCGAAAGGGUCGCUAAUACCGCAUAACAUCCUGCCUUUGGAUAGGUGGAGAUCAAAGUUGGGGAUCCGCAAGGACCUGACGCUUGGAGAGGAGCCCGCGGCCGAUUAGCUAGUUGGUGAGGUAACGGCUCACCAAGGCAACGAUCGGUA